CGGAGCCGUCGCGCUCCGGCCGCGGGCUGCUGAGGUGAGGGUUGGCGAGUGUCUUUUCGUGUACAAACAACGUGGCUGGCGUUUCGUAAGUUAGCCGCUCUGUGCGUCAGUGUCCCCAUCUGGAAAAGGAUGCUCGCUGCGUCGCGUCAAGGUCUCAUUGCCGGUUGGUUACAGACUGACAGGAGUCCUUAUUGGCCCCAUCGUGACUUUUUUUCUGAGCCAUGCUGCUCUUAGGCAAUCUAACAGAUUGGAACCCUGAUAAGAUUGUGCCUAUACACCCUGCACGGGGCACGAGGAGACUGUGAUCAAGUCUGUUACUCGUUACAGUACUGUGAACAUCAACAACAAAAACUGCUUGCGUGGAAACACUGA